GGGGAUGAAGAAUAUCUCCCACAGCGAUCUGUCAACGUCCAGGCGCCGUUGCUCAAGGGGCUGUUUCACAGUGCAGUUAGCCUUUUAGAUUAUAGGAACACGAAGGGGUCCCAGUGGUGCGGCCUUCGCCCGCGUCUCUAGUCCGCGAGUCCGGAGUGUCCGUGUCCACUGGAAGUGAACGCAAAGUCAAACUCUAAGUUUAACCCCCGAGUCUCACCCCCCCCCCCCCGUCGGACAGGGUGUCUCUUAACUCUAAACUUUUAUUACGCAUCAUUUACACUGUUACUUGAUCUUUAAAUCGCUCAAAUAGCGUGCAGUUGGAAGUAUUUUUGUUACCGUUGAUUAGUGAAAAAAAAAUGGUACCAUGUUACCUUUUGUUCGUUACCUUUUGUUUUAUUGUUUUUAUUUUUAUUAUUUGUGUGUGUGUGUGUGUAUUUAGCAUUGACAACUCAAAACAAAAGAAAAUGAUUUCGCCACAUCAAAUAGUUGGUGAGAGAUUUGGUUUUUCUCAUAAAUCUCAAAACUCGUUUCAACCUUCAGUGGGACUUGUGCGUAUUCUACUGUAAAGAAAUGUCAACCACAAUACCAACCCUCUCUAAACGUCUCCCCAAAA